AUUGUGGCAUCACUGAAGAUCUGAAACCGGCGGGUUAGGAUGUCAACAACAGCCAACAAAUUAUUAGAAAUGAAGACCAUUUGUGAAAUUAAGUUUUUCAGGUUCCUGGCCACAUGUUCUCAUGUAUUUUCAAACGGACUUUCUCUGACUGUUGACCGCGGAAAUCCGUGAACGAGGUUAUCAGAGAGCUGCGAUAAGAGAGGAAAAUGGAGAGGAAGAGAAGCAGCCCAACGCGGUGUGAAGGAAUGGAAUAAACCCCGGAGCAGAACCAGAGGAAGGAGGGAUGACUGCCGUGAGAUGAGAGGGAUAGAGGUCACAGAACAACUCGAGAGACCAUUCAGCUGUGAAGAGACAGAAGAAGCCAGAAGAUCUCACAAAGACACCCAAAGGUGAGAUGCAGGUGAGCAUUAAGAUGGAGGUAAACAGAUCACAUAGUGUGUGUGAGAGAGCUGCAGACGGGCUGAGCUAACCAGUCUGUACCUACUGGCAGCUUGUAAAUCUAACAAAAAAACAGGAAGGAAUUUCCUCCUCAGAUAGACAACCUGUCUGCAAUACAUUACUUUACCCUAAUGCCAUUAUGUAGAUACAACAUAUAACUACUUUGGUAGCCA